UAGGAAAGACCUAAGGGACAAGACUCCAACCCAAAACUAAACAACGUAUAGGAGUCUACGACAAUAUCAACCAAUACUCGUAGUCCAGUCUAUAUGGCAUAGGACCCGUAGUAUUAACAUCACAACCAGGAGAUCGGCCUAUAUGGCCAAGAUCCCAAAACAACAACUUUAUCACUAAACAACUCAACCAUUUAGUCACUCCCUUACCAAGAGAUGACUAACCUCAAUCAACAAGAUUAAUUAAACGAGCAAGCAUUUAAUUAAAUCUACUCAAUCAAACCGUUACCCAGAUAGUUCGGCCUCAUGCUACGACACUAUCUUUAAAGAUAACGGGAACCUGCAAUCAACCAUAUCAACACGCAAGAAUAUAAAUCAUGAUGCAUCUUAGUCCU
rnacentral:lncRNA from 1 species